UGUCCCGAGGCCGGUCGUGCUCAAAAACCCGCGAUCUCAAUAUUUUCGAACCCUUCGAACCACGCGUGAAUCCCCACGCGAAAAAGGAAUAACACAAAAACGAAUGACGAUUAAAAGUUACGAGAAUAAAUAAUCGAUCCCCCCCCCCCCCCCGAUUCGGUGCGAUUCACUCACACGUUGCGAAUGAAAAUCGCAACGAUCCCGCCGACACGUGCCAAAAUAUACGUGAAUUGAGGUCUUCCCUUUAUUACCCUUGAAAAAAAGAAUUAAAGUAAAAAAAUAAGAAAAGCUUGAAAAAUCAUGCAACAGUGCAAUUGGCUCGACAGCUUUGUUCACGAAACGUCGUCAUGAAGAUCGUCAAUACUUUGUUUUCCUUCUCCGCAUAAUAAUCGCGGAUGCUCCACUGAAAUCGUCCCUCUUUUAAUAUUCUCGUUGAAUCAAGACUCCAUCCAGAAAGUUUAAUGGCUUGUUGAAUAUAUACUCGGUUUUAGUAUGGGAAUUUCUCGAGAGGAUAUGCGCCGCCCCGUUUCGAUGCACUUUGGGUCAUCGGAUAAACUUUAGUGUUUGGAUCUCGCGAGAGCGCGAGGGGUGAGUUUUCGGCCGCAUAACUUAUUGGACGUUGAAGGAGCGUCUUGCUCGAGGACGUGUAUAUAGAUUUAUUUAUAUAACGCAUAUAGUUCGGGGAGAAGUGAAGAAGGAUCAAGGCUUGCCACAUCGUUGCGACCGGUUUUCAACCCAUUUUCGUCGAUCCAUCUUCCGAUUCCACAUACACGUACAUAUGCGUACUUUCGUCUUUAUAUAUAGAUAACCAAGAUCCGGACACCUCUUGUCUCUUCAAUCAUCCCCUGUAGAGGGUCCCUCGUCUGAACAUUAGGUUCGUUGAUACUUGACAAAAAGCACAUAAUCGAAGAGACACUUUUUCCUGGAAUAUAUUAAAAACUUCGACGUCCCCUUUCAUCGUCCAAUGACGAUUGAUCGAAUCAAGGAGAGCCCUGCGUGCAAAAAUUUCCGGUUUGAGAUGACAAAUAUUAAUACUUGCCACAAAUCGAUGAGGGACAAUGGGAUCUAAAUAAUCCGAAGCCAUUGAUAUUUUAUGCGGAAGAACGAGGAAUUAUAAAGAAAAUCGAAAACGAGUGUGCUUUCGGUACGAGUGGAUUAGCCAGUGCUUCGUCGCCGGUGCUGCUGGAAAGUGUCUUCGACUCGAGUGGCCAGUGAUUGUGGUUAUUAGCGAUAUCAGCGUUGAGCGAUGCUAAAUCCGGGCCUCGACAUCCAGAACCGUCGUGCGCCCGUCGAACAUGACGUGAGGAAGAGGAAAAUUUGGCAUUUCGAACUCUGCCAGUUGUCCGCUCGCUUUCAUCCAAAAUCGUGAAUCUUCGUCUAUAUCGAACGAGGACAAAAAUAUAACACUCUUCGAGUCAUCACCCCCCGUUUUCUUUUCCGACUAUCUUACGGCCGUGCCUAUCCGACGAAGUGAGCUUUGGUGUGUGUGAAUGUGUGCAUGUGCAAUAUAUAUAUAUAUUUAUAAAUAUAUAUCAAUAUAAGAUAUAAAAGUAAUAAAAACGAAAUGGGAUCCUGGAGGAAUGUUCUGCUUUCCGUAUUCGUCGCCUGCUUCUUCACCGUGGCUCGUGAAGUUCAAGGUGGCACCGAGCCAUGGAAAAAGAGCGAGAAGAGCGCCGAACGAGGAGCCGAAGUACAACUACCGUGUAUACUGAUAUCGUCACAAUGCGGUGGUCUUCACAGCAUAAAGUGGUACCAUGGCAACACGAGGAUUUUCAUAUUCAGCGAAAAUGUUGGUCUCACUCGCGAGAGUAACGACAUUGCCACUCGGGCAACGAUGGAUUACGACGUUAACACGACGAAAACUUACCUGAGAAUUCCAAACGUUAAACUCGAAGAUGAAGGAUUGUACAAAUGCGAGGCAACGUACCUGUCGGUUAAUCGAGAGUGCAACAAUGUUCAGCACAUCACGCUUACUGUCAAUGUUCGACCCGAUUACGUGAGAGUAAUCGAGAAAGACGAAAAAAUAAAUCUGACUUCGGGGGACGUACUUGGUCCGAUAAACGAGGGUAAACUGGUCAGUCUGCGAUGUGAGAGCGGCGAGGGCAAACCCGUUCCUACAGUCGAGUGGUACAAGGGUGAAGAAGUUCUGAAAGCCAACAGCUCCACGAACACACAGGAUGGAAAUAUCGGGACCGGUAGCAGCGAGCUUCAGAUAACCGUUGGCCGAAACGAGUUGGAUGCAACGUUCACGUGCAAAGUCAGCAGUCCAGCUCUUGACGAGCCCCUGACGCUUGACGUGAAGCUCGACGUACAUGUGAGCCCGGAAAAAAUGGAUGUGAAAGGUGUUGUCGGGCACGUCGUCAGCGGUACGAAGAUCCUGCUGGAGUGCAUCGUGAGCGCUGCAAGACCACCGGCGAACGUGACAUGGUACAACGGUACAGAGCUCUUGAACGACGAAAACGAACGAUUGGAGAUGUUCGGUACGAACAUACGAAAUAACACCCACGGCACGUCGGACACGGACAGUCAUUUGGCAUUCACAGCAUCGGAAUACGACAAUGGCAGAAUGUUCAGUUGCGUUGCCGAAAAUUCCGUUACCGUGGCUGAGGGCAUCAAACCUAUGAAGGAAGUCACUAUUAUUGAAGUUCUCUAUCCUCCAAUAGUGACCCUGCGACAAGAGAAUAUAACAGUCAACGAGACUGACGAAUUCGAUUUGUUUUGUGACUACGUCGCGAACCCGUCGGAGCUUAAAUCCGUCAAAUGGUUACUGGAUGGCGAAAUUAUCAACGUUGGCAAGAACGAUCACUACGACGGCGGUGAGGCAAGCUUCGCUCCUCUCACCGUGAGAAAUGCGUCCUCCAGCGACAUGGGAAGAUACACCUGCAUAUUGGAGAACAGCGUUGGUGAAUCCACUGUGCAAGACUUCAUCGACGUAUCCGUGCUGUAUAAGCCUCAGGUGAAGGUGACGAUGGAACCAGAAGUGCCGGUUAACGAAGCCGAUCGCUUGAACGUAUCGCUCACCUGCGAAGUAGUCGAUGGUAAUCCAAUGACACUGACGACAGUUCGAUGGUUUCUCGAUGGUGAUCUUCUCAAGGAACUGCCUGAUUGUUCUCGCAAUUCAUCGCUCGCCAGCGAUGGUGCAAGUUCGACUUCGACUAAUGGAAUACUCGUCGAUGAGAUAUCGACCUUCUGCGACAUAGAUCCAAGCAAGUUGCUCCUCGAAGCUGUUGGUCGUUCGUUCAAUGGGAAUUAUGCCUGCGAGGGUCGUAACGACGCUGGCUGGGGGAACAGAUCAGCCAGUGCACCGGUCGUCGUUUAUUAUAAGCCGGGACCGGCUACGAUAACGUACGAGCCCAAACGGGUCGUUAAGAAGGGCUCGUUGAACAUUACGUGCUCGGUUCUCGAUCUCGGGCGCCCCGAAGUAACGGGCUUCAAGUGGUUUCGCGGAUCUCAUCAGAUAUCAGGCGAAGAGAGUGCCGUUUUGCGCAUAGAAUCUGUGAAUCUCGAGACUAAAGCGAAUUUCACGUGUAUGGCUUUUAAUGAAGCUGGGGAUGGCGACCCUGCUACCGUUUUCAUCGAUGUUGCAGCCCGACCCGACUUUAUAAAACCACUCAACGGUUAUGCCGGAUUUGCAUACAACUCGACAAACGUCAGCAUCGAAUGUUGGGUCGAGUGCUCCCCGAUCUGCAAUAUAUCGUGGGAGAGAGACGGUUUACCCAUGAAUUUCGAUAAAACCGAACUCUAUUAUCAGACGAAUGUUUAUCACCCACCUGAUCAAAGUAAAAAUGAUUUUGAGAGUAUACAAUCGACCCUCGUUUGGAACAUGACUGCAUGGCCGGACGGCCAUCUCCACCCCUUCAGGGACAACGAAAACUUUACCUGCGAAAGCACCGGAAAUGGCAUUGGACCGGGAGUCAAAAGCGAAACCGUUUUUCGUGUCGAAUUUCCACCGGAAAAUAUGACGAUAUCAAAGAAGAUUAUAGACGUUAUCGUCGAUUCGAUACCCGAGAGCGUGAAAUGCAGCGCGGUAGCCGAACCUGAGCCCAUGUUCCGAUGGUUUCGCGAAGGCUCCACUGACGUUAUAUCGACCGACGCUGUACACGUCUUCAAAACGAAAGUACCGAGACGAAGCAACGGCACAUACAUCUGUCAGGCUUAUAACCGUCACGGUCAAAACAACAUCACUACUUAUCUCAAUGUUCUCUUUAAACCCGAGUGCAGAAUCGACGAAGAGCGAAUAGACGGUGAAUAUUAUCUCGUCUGUUCAGCAACAGCGAAUCCAAAAGAAUCUGAUUUCACGUGGUCCUUGAAAAGUGACAACGACACCCUCGAUCAAAUUGGAGAGAUAAGGGAUGGAAAAGGUUAUCUUCGUCUCGAUACGUCAAUUACGAAUUUCCGAACUUACGUCUGCGUCGCCAACAAUUCAAUCGGAUUUUCAUUGCCCUGCGAGCGCGGCGUACCCGCCCGCCAUGGACGUGACAGUAAUUUGCCGUGGUGGCUUCAACUGGAGGGUGAUCUUUUGAUAAUCAUAAUAAUCGUCGCGAUGGUUAUUCUGCUGGCGAUAGUGAUAUGCUGCAUCGUCAUCUGGUUGAUUUGUCGUCGGAAGCGAGCCCAGGCCAAAUAUCCCAGUCAAGCAACGAACAAUAAUCACGUUGACAGCGUUUCGGAGAGUUUGCCGGAGCCCGAGACGAAAACAUUUUACGAAAACUUGCCGUUCCACGGAAUUCAAACGCCACCCAAUAAGUCGAACAACCUGUACAACUAUCAAGAAUACUAUCAGCAGCAUCAAAAGCAUCAGCAACAGCACUAUCAAAUUCAACAGCAACCACAGGAGAUGCAACAGUACGGGAACUACAAUACAGUAGGAACCGGUUUGCCGAGCGGAAGUUUAAGCCAACUGACGUUACCCUUAACGCGGAGUCUUUAUCAUUCGUCGAUAGUGAGCCCGCUGGAGACAUCAUUCAUGCCAGUUCACGCACAAAAUCACAGCACAGUUGGAAGACAACAUCAUCAUCAGUUCGGCGCGACGACGAAUCAACAUCAUCCUCAGAAUCGGAGCGAGGACGGUCGUGGAUACGUCGUGAGUGGUGAAAAUCGGAGUAGCAGCAACAGUCCACCACUGUCCCUGAUACACGGAACCUCUGACCUCGAAUUAUCGAGUUACGCUCUCGAUCAUCAGUUACAACAAUCGUCGCGUCGCUCAGCAUCAAAUCAGCAACUGCAACACGGUGGACGCCGUAACGAGAGAAGAAAGUACCAAAGGAAACAACACAGCGAUCGUAACAACGAUCGAAAGAGCAAGCACCGUAGUCGAGCCAAUGCGGAGAGCCGUCUCCGUGGUGGCGGUGGUGGAGCUUUGAUGAGUGACACGAGUGAUCUCCUAAAUUCAAUCACGAAUUGCGGUGUUCCAAUUAUCUCAGACGUGACAGCGUCGUCACAAACGACGACAACGACGAACAUGCCUGGUGGACGUCGUAGCGCCGGCGAUACAAAUUCGGCCCUUAAAUACAAUCAGUACCGUCAAGAUCUUGGUAUACCGGAGAGUUACAAGAUCGCUUAUCCUCACUAUUACGAAGACGCCAUAAACUCAUGCCCCAGUGAUUAUCGCGAUAUCGAUGGAUCUUCCGCUCCCGUUACAAAUGGCACGAGUCUUAGUAGCAACAAUAGCGGCUCUCAUCAACAACGGGAACGUCGAACGAACCAGUACGUCACCGGUACCGGGGGCAUCGCCAUGCCCUCGACACCCCCUUCCACAAUGACGAUAAAUCCACCCUCGAGUGGUGGCAACAAUACUCACUACAACGAUCUUGCAAACAACACAAAAAUCUCGACAAAGUCGAGGAGAUCAUCGAGCGGAUAUGCGCGGUCGGAACAGAUGAUGGGUCUUUCAGGACGAGCGAGCAAUCAGUCACCUCCUAUAACGAACACUCUCACCGCUGAUACGACAACGAACGUCACUUUGCUCGAUGAUACAACGUCCAGUACGACGACGAUCGUUGCUGCCGCUAACGCUCCUACUACUAACAGCACGUCGUCGUCUUCGUCCGCUACAACCCUAUCCGCAACUUCCUCCAACCCCCCGAGCACCCACUACGCCGAGCUACACUUUCGUGACGUCGGUCGGGAAAUCGACGUUUGAAGGAUGGUAUGCCGACAAAAAGCGACACGUAUAUUUACUAAAGACAGAGAGAAGAUGAGAAAAUCGAAAACGGCAACCGACGGAUCGAUAGCCAUUCAAACCGGAGUUUUCGGAUCUGGACUACGCCGACGUGGAUUA
rnacentral:misc_RNA from 1 species